AUCUGCUCGCCUCCUAGAAAGAGAAAACGGCCAGCUUUUUUUCCCUCCAUUCCUCCCACAACUCUGCCACACUAGGUAAUGACCGGGGCAGUGUCACCAGUCACUACCCUGCUAUCCUCCUCUACGUCCUCCGCCUCCUUCCAACACCAUCAUCAGCUCCCAUUCCUCCUGGAUACAGGUUUGGUUUGCAGCCUUCCCCUGCAGGUCAUUCAAUCUGUUUGCAAACCUCUGCAAGAGUAAGACAGCUUUUUCUCCAGAGGUUAAGACUUUUCAGGAGCAAACAAUAUGAAAGAAGAAGAAGAAGAAGAAGAAAAUUUCAGCUAAGGCAGAAAUGAUUAAUUGGGCCACUCUGCUGAAAAUAGGAUGCGGCUCUCAAGAUAUGGAAGCUGCUGAGAGAUAUGAAGGAAACAUUGAGUAAGAUAUGGGAGCACUUUGUGAACGCUAAAACACUACCCAAGAGUUGGAUAUCAUGACUACUACUUUCCUCCCCACCCCCAAGACUUGUGAUUUCAUCAGUGGAGGAGGUCCAGUAACUUUCUCUGCCAACGCAGACCAGCCUCUUUCUUGUAGUUUAUCACCUGCAGAGUUGCCAUGGAUGUAGAGAGAUUGGUGAUUUGCUAAUGGGAUUGAGGAAGGAUUGAAACCCCAGUCUUCUUGACUCUAAGGCCACCUCUCCCUUUGCCACACUGACUCUCACUACUGCUAAUAACAACAAAAAACAUAGCCCAUGAUCCCUGUGCUUAAAUACAUACAUGCAUUAAAAAAUCAGUACCUGAGACAU